rnacentral:misc_RNA from 1 species
GAUGUUCUUCUUAGGCUUGAGGUAGUAUUAUUUCUUGUUGCUUGGUAAAAGAAAUUGAAUUGUGAAUUGAGACAGCUUAGUUUUAAUUGUAUCUUUUUCCUUGUAUAUGAUAAGAUAAUUAUUAUAUCGUUACAUUCCUUGUAGAUAUAUCAACACAUUGGUUCUUAACUUAUUACGCCUUCUUAGUUCUGUGAAAAAAUGGUUU